AUUGAACGCUGGCGGCAGGCCUAACACAUGCAAGUCGAGCGGAGCGGCGGACGGGCGAGUAAUGCCUAGGAAUCUGCCUGGCCGUGGGGGAUAACGUCCGGCAACGGGCGCUAAUACCGCACACUAUCUGAUGCGCCUAGGUCGGUUUAGCUAGUGGGUGGGGUAAAGGCUUACCAAGGCGACCAUCCGUCACUGGUCUGAGAGGAUGAUCGGUCACACUGGAACUGAGAAACGGUCCAGACUCCUACGGGAGGCAGCAGUGGGGAAUAUUGGACAAUGGGCGAAAGCCUGAUGCAGCCAUGCCGCGUGUAUGAAGAAGGCCGUCGGGUUGUAAAGUACUUUCAGCGGGGAGGCGUUACCCGCAGAAGAAGCACCGGCUAACUCCGUGCCAGCAGCCGCGGUAAUAC
rnacentral:rRNA from 1 species